rnacentral:rRNA from 1 species
ACUCCUACGGGAGGCAGCAGUGGGGAAUAUUGCACAAUGGGCGAAAGCCUGAUGCAGCAACGCCGCGUGAGUGAUGAGGGCCUUCGGGUCGUAAAGCUCUUUGAUCAGGGAUGAUAAUGACAGCACCUGAAAAACAAGCCACGGCUAACUACGUGCCAGCAGCCGCGGUAAUACGUAGGUGGCGAGCGUUGUCCGGAAUUACUGGGCGUAAAGGAUGCGUAGGUGGAUACUUAAGUGGGAUGUGAAAUCCCCGGGCUCAACCCGGGAACUGCAUUCCAAACUGGGUAUCUAGAGUGCAGGAGAGGAAAGCGGAAUUCCUAGUGUAGCGGUGAAAUGCGUAGAUAUUAGGAGGAACACCAGUGGCGAAGGCGGCUUUCUGGACUGUAACUGACACUGAGGCAUGAAAGCGUGGGUAGCAAACAGGAUUAGAUACCCUGGUAGUC